rnacentral:rRNA from 1 species
AACGUAGGAGACAAACGUUAUCCGGAGUUACUGGGCGUAAAGGGCGUGUAGGUGGUUUCGUAAGUCUGGCGUGAAAUAUCUCGGCUUAACCGAGGCAGGUCGGCGGAUACUGCGGGACUAGAGGACGGUAGAGGCGUGUGGAAUUCCGGGUGUAGUGGUGAAAUGCGUAGAGAUCCGGAGGAACACCAGUGGCGAAGGCGACACGCUGGGCCGUACCUGACACUGAUGCGCGACAGCAUGGGGAGCAAACAGG